GACGGAGGGUGCGAGCGUUAAUCGGAAUUACUGGGCGUAAAGCGCAUGUAGGCGGCCGAACAAGUCAGGUGUGAAAUCCUCGGGCUUAACCUGGGAAGUGCACUUGAUACUGUCCGGCUAGAGUUUGGCAGAGGAAAGUAGAAUUCCCGGUGUAGCGGUGAAAUGCGUAGAGAUCGGGAGGAAUACCAGUGGCGAAGGCGGCUUUCUGGGCCAAUACUGACGAUGAGGUGCGAAAGAGUGGGGAGCAAACAGG
rnacentral:rRNA from 1 species